rfam:Triticum aestivum genome assembly, contig: Triticum_aestivum_CS42_TGACv1_scaffold_577639_7BL
GUGCUACUCCCUCCGUCCGAAAAAGCUUGCCCCAAGCUUGUCUCUCAAAUCGAUGUAUCUAGUCCGAAAAAGCUUGUCCCUCAAAUGGAUGUAUCUAGCGCCAAGUUAGUGAUACUAACUUGGCGCUAGAUACAUCCAUUUGAGGGACAAGCUUUUUCGGACUAGAUACAUCUAUUUGAGAGACAAGCUUGGGACAAGCUUUUUCGGACGGAGGGAGUAUGUU